rnacentral:snRNA from 1 species
UGACAGUACUGUAAAACGGACAUCUCUCAGACCAUUGAUUGCCAAGAUUCCACUGAUCUGGCCGACUAGGUAGGUGUCCCCUUCCUCCCUCAUUGCUCCUUGUGUGUCCCUCCUGAAGCUGCAUAGGUCUGAGAGGACGGUGGCCUUCUAGAAGAGAGAGGACUGUUGAGUAGCUGUGUUACCCUGCUAGAACCUACCAACAAGCUCUCGUGAAUAGAGGGGCUGAAGUGAUAGUACAGAGGAUAGGGCACUUACCUUAUAUUAAAGUCCUGCACAGCAGUGUACCCCCAAAU